GACGUAGGGAGCGAGCGUUGUCCGGAUUCAUUGGGCGUAAAGAGCGCGUAGGCGGCCGUGCAAGUCGGUUGUGAAAUCCCGGGGCUCAACCCCGGGACUGCGUCCGAUACUGCACGGCUUGAGGCAGGUAGGGGAGAGUGGAAUUCCCGGUGUAGCGGUGAAAUGCGCAGAUAUCGGGAGGAACACCGGUGGCGAAGGCGGCUCUCUGGACCUGUCCUGACGCUGAGGCGCGAAAGCUAGGGGAGCGAACAGG
rnacentral:rRNA from 1 species